GACGUGCUGAGAAAUUCACUGUUAUGUUCUCUGUCCUUGAGCUGUCCGCCCUCACACACGUGGUCACUUUCCCCUAAAAAUUGUUUAAUCUGGUUCUCUUUAUCUACUUGUAGGAUCUGUGCAGGAUCCACUGAUGUGUAAGUUUCCAACUUUUCCUUCGGUGUUAAGCUUUGUCUGGUUUGUGUGUCCAUUUAUUUUUGUGUCCUCGCUGCAGCUCUGUCCGACUGCAUCGUAUAAGAAAAGCAGCAGACGUGGACGCUUCAGGUCAGUACAGGCUUCACUUUGUAAUGUCAGGGUGAGAAUAGAAGAGCUGGAUCACCUCUGACAGGAUUCUCUGUAAAGAAGUGCAGAGACUUUGAGUACAGCCAGUGAGCAAAGCCAGAGAAGUCAGUGUAUCUGAACCAGAAAUCAAAGAGAAAUCAAGAACAGGGAGUACGCUCCCAAGGACAGUGUCAGAAAAACGCCUAACGCAUCCUUUUUCUGCCCACGUCUCUUCUCAUCUGUGUUGCAGUUUCCAGGCUUUUAUUUCUCCAUUUCCCUACUUUAAAUGUCUGCUUGUUUAUUGCUGAUAUUGUAAUAACACAUGCUUUUGUUCAUAGACAUAAGAGCAGCUUCCUGUCUGCAGUGUCUGUGCUCCAUCUGUCUGGAUGUGUUCACCGUUCACCAGACGCAGCUUCUGAACAACUACGGCACACUGCACGGCGACGCUCGUGUCCCUGUUUUUCACAUUAAACUGCACUUUUAUUUCUGCUGCUGACGUUAUGCAAACCGCUGCAGGAGGAAUAGACUGACAGCUUCAUCUAAGAUCUGGAAAAACUCCAGUUCCUCCAAAGUUUCCCGUUCCCGAAGUCUGUUCCAUCCACCGAACACUGGACCGAGGGCAAAGUUGAGCCGUUAUGUGGCGGCAGAAAGAGAACUGUUGAUGAGCUGCAGGAGACGCACGAGCUGUGCAGUAACUGUGAAGUGAAGAGGGCCUAGAAGUACGCAGUGGAUGUGACUCUUGGUCCUGACACAGCAAAUAUCUAUCUCAUCCUUUCUGAUAAUGGGAUGCAAGUCAGCCCUGGAACAGUCAAACAGAACCUUCCAGACACCCAAAGAGAUUUUCUGUUGUUGAGUUUGAGGAAAGCAGCCAGAUUUAGUUUGAGGUUCAGGGCAGGAAGACUGGAUCUUAGCCCAAAGACCGUGAACAGGAAGCAGGCAGUGAAUAGCUGUACGUUUGGCCUCACGCGGUGGCUGUUUGUGGACCCUGAAUCGGAGCUGGUCACUUUUAUAAUAUAGAUGGGCCGUAUGAUAAAGUGUUACGCAGAACGAAUAAAGUAUGAACUGAAUCUCCUUCCUGUUUUCCUUUGGAAAUAAGUCUGUGAAACUCUUUUAGUAGUGAACUAAACCACAGAGUAACAUCCCCAAACUGCCAAUACUCAGUGUAGAUGACCUCACCGAUGUCAUGCAAUACAAGUCAUAAAAUAGGAUCAGACGUACAGUCACAUCGAUCCUUUUAUUUUCGACUGUGGAGCUACGUAUUCCUUUCUUCAGCAUGUCUUUAUCCUGUCUUCCUUCUCUC
ensembl:lncRNA